GUUGGGUGAUGCAGGCUUUGGAACUGCCAGAAUGUGCUAAAAGGCCCUGGGCAUUGAAAAACCAGCCAACAAACAUACAAUGAGCAUUAAGUCCUGGGUCUGCUGCUGACAACCCUUCCCCUCUUCUGCUUCUCACAUUGCCACCUGUAGAUCCAUUUUUGGGGUGACAAGAGGCUGCUCCUUUGUUUGAGAGAAAAAGAGGGAAAGGAGAGAAGACAGAAGAGAAGAGCAGAGCGAUUAGUUGUAAAGAUCCCUGCAUAUCUGGCUGUGUGAACGGGGGUAGGUCAUCUGUCACACAGCCCCUAUGGGCCUCAGUUUGCUUAUCUACAAAGAAAGGAUAUCGGACUCUAUGAUCUUUAAGGUCUCCUCCGGCAUCAAAGUUCUACGUUCUAUAGUAUCUUAUAAACAGCUUCCCAGGGAAGUGUUAUCGCCAGAGGCUACGGUUAAAAUCCAAGUAUGUUUCCUGUGAAGGAAAUUCCACUGACACUCGUACCUUAGGUCAAAUAUGUUUACAAGAUACACUUGAUAUUUUGAGGAUCCAGGACACAGGCUUGGUUCAUUUUUAUUGGAGGUAGAGAGAGGAGCAUUCUGGAGAAAGGGCUGCUGACUGAGGAUUGAGUGAUAUCCAGUGGAGGGUCCUCGGCCUGCCGUCUCAUAUGAAAGGUGGUUGUUGUUGUUAGGUGCCAUAGAGUUGGUUCUGACUCAUAGUGACCCCAUGAACAACGGAACCAAACACUGCCUGGUCUUGCACCAUCCUCACAAUCGUUGUUAUGCUUGCGCCCAUUGUUUUAGCCACUGUGUCAAUCCAUCUCAUUGAGGGUCUUUCUCUUUUUCACAGACCCUCCACUUUACCAAGCAUGAUGGAUGUCCUUCUGCAGGGACUGAUCUCUCCUAAUAACUUCUGAAAGACUCACAGACGAUCAGAAGAGGGAGCGAGUUCCUUAGAGCUCAUCAGACCGGUGUUUUCAGAGUAUGGCGGAUGGACCACCUGCCUCAGACUUAGGAGCUAUGUGGAAUAAGGCUAAGGACCUAUCAAUCAACCCAGGAAUGACUGAUUAUUGGAGAACAGAAGAUUCUCUGUAAGUUUACCCUUUAUAUUAAUCCAUGAAAAAAAUCCCUAGAAUUUUGUGGUCAAAUGUGGCUUUAAGUGAACAGAUAAGAGCCCAAGUAAAUGGGAGCACUCCUCCAUUCCUAAGGGAAGUUGGUGAACUGCCCACAUAAUUUGCUGAUAAAGGCCCAUCUGUUAAAACAAAGUACCGCAGCAUUGGCAAUACAUUUCAGCCAGAGACCAUAAGUGGAUAUU